rnacentral:rRNA from 1 species
GACGAACCGAGCGAACGUUGUUCGGAAUCACUGGGCUUAAAGGGCGCGUAGGCGGGCUGUCAAGUUUGGGGUGAAAUCCCGCGGCUCAACCGUGGAACUGCCUCAAAUACUGACGGUCUCGAGGGGGAUAGGGGCGAGCGGAACUAAUGGUGGAGCGGUGAAAAUGCGUUGAUAUCAUUAGGAACUCCGGUGGCGAAGGCGGCUCGCUGGAUCUCUUCUGACGCUGAGGCGCGAAAAGCUAGGGGGAGCAAAACGGGG